rnacentral:rRNA from 1 species
CCUACGGGUGGCAGCAGUGAGGAAUAUUGGUCAAUGGACGGAAGUCUGAACCAGCCAUGCCGCGUGCAGGAAGACGGCUCUAUGAGUUGUAAACUGCUUUUGUACAAGGGUAAACCUGAAUACGUGUAUUCAGCUGAAAGUACUGUACGAAUAAGGAUCGGCUAACUCCGUGCCAGCAGCCGCGGUAAUACGUAGGGGGCAAGCGUUAUCCGGAUUUACUGGGUGUAAAGGGAGCGUAGACGGUGCGCCAAGUCUGGAGUGAAAUGCCGCAGCUUAACUGCGGAACUGCUUUGGAAACUGGCGAACUAGAGUGCGGGAGGGGUAAGCGGAAUUCCUAGUGUAGCGGUGAAAUGCGUAGAUAUCACGCAGAACCCCGAUUGCGAAGGCAGCCUUCCGGCGCCCUACUGACGCUGAGGCACGAAAGUGCGGGGAUCGAACAGGAUUAGAUACCCGGGUAGUC